rnacentral:misc_RNA from 1 species
AAAAAAAAAAAAAAAAAGUUGAUAGAACCUUGUUCAAUUCUUAUGCAGAACAAUGGGUUCUUACAGCAGUUGGUGAAAAUGUGAAACUUAGGUGGGAAACCUCUGAUUGAACAAUUAAAACCAUAUAUCUGUUCAGAACACAACCUAUACAGAGUCACCAUUGAAUAGGAAAAUACGAAUUAUACUAAAAUUUCAAUAAAUACCUUUUGGAAAUAAAAGGAAUAUCA